AGAGUUUGAUCAUGGCUCAGAACGUACGCUGGCGGCACGCCUAACACAUGCAAGUCGAACGAAGUAGCAAUACUUAGUGGCAGACGGNUGAGUAACAUGUAGGUAUCUGCCCUUUGGCCUGGAAUAACACGAGGAAACUUGUGCUAAUACCGGAUAAGUCUUUACGGAGAAAGCUUUAUGCACCAUUGGAUGAGCCUGCACUUGAUUAGUUUGUUGGUGGGGUAANGGCCUACCAAGACUGUGAUCAAUAGCUGA
rnacentral:rRNA from 1 species